UUGAUUGCCUUCUCACAAACACCUUUUAAAGAUAUUACCUAUUUACUGGGUUUUGUUAUUAUUAUACUUAACACGUGGGAAUAAUGCUUUAUUAUUAUUUUUUAAAGUCUCUCUCUCUUAUUUUUAAGAUGCAUUGGCCUUGGAGAUGAGGGAACUUCUCUAUCUCUCUGAUUUAUUUGAAAUGUCCCGAGUAGAGGAAUCUGUAAUGAUACUGAAAUGCACACUGAAGUAAAGAUAGAGGGAGACACUUAGCAAACAAUGGCAGCGAUUACAGAAACAAAGAGAGAGGCAGGGCAUGGCAUCCCUGCAGGCGGGAAAUUAAUUGAACAGGGAAAGCUACAGAAGGACAGGCAGUGUCCAGAUGCCCGAGGAAGCUUUUCACAACACCCUGGACUUCCUCACUCUUUCUCUAAAGCUCCUCUCCCCUCUGCCAUGACAAUGUUUGCAGACCUCCAUUGCUGAGCAUGGCAGCUUUCUCUGACCCCAACUCAAAAGGUCAUGGUUUCUUUCCUUCUUUUUCUCUAUCUCUCUCCUUCUGAAAGUUGCUGAGAUCACAGCUUGCCUACCCUCCUGUUUUUUUUUUCCUCCCAAACUCCAAUAAAAUUAUCUUUGAGCUUCCUA